AUUGAACGCUGGCGGCAUGCCUUACACAUGCAAGUCGAACGGUAGGGGGAGCAAUCCCCUGAGAGUGGCGAACGGGUGAGUAAAGCAUCGGAACGUGCCCAGUCGUGGGGGAUAACUACUCGAAAGAGUGGCUAAUACCGCAUACGACCUGAGGGUGAAAGCGGGGGACCGAAAGGCCUCGCGCAGUUGGAGCGGCCGAUGUCAGAUUAGCUAGUUGGGGGGGUAAAGGCCCACCAAGGGGACGAUCUGUAGCUGGGCUGAGAGGACGACCAGCCAGACUGGGACUGAGAAACGGCCCAGACUCCUACGGGAGGCAGCAGUGGGGAAUUUUGGACAAUGGGCGCAAGCCUGAUCCAGCCAUGCCGCGUGCAGGAAGAAGGCCUUCGGGUUGUAAACUGCUUUUGUCAGGGAAGAAAUCCCUUGGGUUAAUACCUCGGGGGGAUGACGGUACCUGAAGAAUAAGCACCGGCUAACUACGUGCCAGCCGCCGCGGUAA
rnacentral:rRNA from 1 species